UACGUAGGGUGCGAGCGUUGUCCGGAUUUAUUGGGCGUAAAGAGCUCGUAGGCGGUUUGUCGCGUCGGCCGUGAAAUCUCCACGCUUAACGUGGAGCGUGCGGUCGAUACGGGCAGACUUGAGUUCGGUAGGGGAGACUGGAAUUCCUGGUGUAGCGGUGAAAUGCGCAGAUAUCAGGAGGAACACCGGUGGCGAAGGCGGGUCUCUGGGCCUUACCUGACGC
rnacentral:rRNA from 1 species